rnacentral:ncRNA from 1 species
AAGAUAGAGGUGCGAAUUCAAUGAGUAACAUGCAGGAGGCUGCCAAAGCUGUGGAUGGCAAGUGAAGGGGGAAUUCGCCGAAAGGUGCUGCUGAGGGCAGGCACACCUUGGUUGUGUUCGUGAAAAUCGGCACGACUGUCGUCACUUGGUUGUGAUGGAGCGCUAUCGG